rnacentral:lncRNA from 1 species
AAAGUGUUAGCUAAUCAAUAUAUAUGUACAGGGGAAUAAAAAAUACAAAGCCCUAUAAACCACAAGUACCUUCCGUUACCACCUUUAUCAAAUGCAUAUUGAAUGAGCUUCAAUUGGUCAAGAGAAAGGGGGUUAUUUACAUAGAAAUGACCAGCUUUAAACUUAGCCUUCGCUCCCCGAGACACUUUAUCAUAAGGAGAGAGUUGGUAUCGUCCCGGCCAUCUGUUCCGUACUGGUCGUGUUGCUGGUACGCUCAUGCUAGUGGAGGUUUGGAACUCUUGCUUAAUGUCAAGUGGUUUAGCUAAAUUCUAUAUAUGUCCAAUUCAGCUAAAUUCUAUAUAUGUCCAGGGUCAAAAUUAAUUCAUUAUCAUUAAAACUAAAUUACAACUAAAGAUCGCUUAGACAAACCUCUCCCUCCUCUCGAGGUUUUGGCGUUAAAUGGAGAUCAUGUCCUCUAUCAAAUUGAAAUGAAUCGAGCGGAGUUUCACUAGUAUGUAAACUUGCUUUCACUCUACGAUCCACGGUGUCGUCAUCACUGACCAAAAUCAUUUUCUCUUCAGUUUUUGACAUUGUUUUUCCAUCCAGAGAUGUACGAUUUUGACUUUUCACAUUUGAAGGUGGAUCGGGAGCAACUGGUUGUUUGCUUGAUCCUCCGUGAUACUUUGAUGUCAACUCUCCCAAUAUUUUCUCUAUAUUUUCCAAUCUCAGAAUGAAAAUUGGAAUCAAGAGAAUGUAACUGCGAAGUUCAAAUCAAAAUGGCAAAUUAGAUUAUUGAAUAAUAAAAACCUACAUCAAAUUGAGGAACGACAUAUACACAUGUAACAUACUAUGCAUUCAGCUUAACAUUCACGAUGAACAGGAACCAACGAAAGGCACCAUCGUUAAUUGGAACAUAAAUCUAACCAAAAAAAUCAGUCACCAUCGAUAAUUGGAACAUAAAUCUAACAAACAAAAAUAAGUAUUUUUCUCAUAGAAGAUGUUUUACAAAAAGUAAAAUUGUAAUCAAUUGAGAGUGUAGAAAGUAACCUUUUGGCAAGCUCCAACGGUAAGUGCUGAUUGCUAUAAAAGAACAAUAAGUAAACAAGUGAUAUGUCAAUAAAUGCACAAGUAUUGAAAAAAAAUCUUAUUGUACAGAGCAAUGUUUGAAAAUUAUUAUAGAUAAACAACAACUUCAAUUCACAUAGAAAUAAUAGUGGUGGAUACUUACUGCAUAUAUUGUCGGUAAAUACCAAUUUAUUGGUGCAUCACUCCAUUUAGCCCAAGCAUGAAAGGUUUUCCGACACUUGCUACUUGUGCAAAACCAUCAAUGUCAGCUCCAACGGUAAGUGCUGAUUGCUAUAAAAGAACAAUAAGUAAACAAGUGAUAUGUCAAUAAAUGCACAAGUAUUGAAAAAAAAUCUUAUUGUACAGAGCAAUGUUUGAAAAUUAUUAUAGAUAAACAACAACUUUAAUUCACAUAAAAAUAAUAGUGGUGGAUACUUACUGCAUAUAUUGUCGGUAAAUACCAGUUUAUUGGUGCAUCACUGCGUUUAGCCCGUUCAUAUAGUGUGAAGUGAUAUGCUAUCAUGGUGAGAAUCUAAAACAGUGGUCAAUAAGUGAGAACUUAGUAUUCAAUUUUGCAAUAAGGCAUCCAAACAUAUAGUACAAUGAUGUGAGUGCCAAUGCACCACAAACCUCUCCACUCAUAGCCGUGUUAGGCAAAAGGCUCAUGAAAUUAUGUCCGGAGAUAAAUUGAUCAUCAGUAGAGACAACGAUUUCGCUGAAAACACAAAUAAGUAAUAAAGUGUUAGCUAAUCAAUAUAUAUGUACAGGGGAAUAAAAAAUACAAAGCCCUAUAAACCACAAGUACCUUCUGUUACCAUCUUUAUCAAAUGCAUAUUGAAAAGGGGGUUAUUUACAUAGAAAGGACCAGCUUUAAACUUAGCCUUCGCUCCCUGAGACACUUUAUCAUAAGGAGAGAGUUGGUAUCGUCUAGGCCUUCUGUUCCGUGCUGGUCGUGUUGCUGGUACGCUCAUGCUAGUGGAGGUCUGGAAGUCUUGCUUAGUGUCAAGUGGUUCAGCUAAAUUCUAUAUAUGUCCAGGGUCAAAAUUAAUCCAUUAUCAUUAAAACUAAAUUACAA